UACGUAGGGUGCAAGCGUUGUCCGGAAUUAUUGGGCGUAAAGGGCUCGUAGGCGGUCCAUCGCGUCGGGAGUGGAAAAGCCUGGGGCUCAACCCCAGUCCUGACUUCCGAUACGGGUGGACUAGAGGUAUGCGAGGGGAGGAACGGAAUUCCUGGUUGUAGCGGUGGAAAUACGCAGAUAUCAGGAAGAACACCCGUGGCGAAAGCGGCUCUCUGGGACGGUACUGACGCUGAGACGCGAAAGCGUGGGGGAGCGAACAGG
rnacentral:rRNA from 1 species